rnacentral:rRNA from 1 species
GGGCCCGCACAAGCGGUGGAGCAUGUGGUUUAAUUCGAUGCAACGCGAAGAACCUUACCUGGGCUUAAACUGCAGCGGAAAUCCGGUGAAAGCCGGCCCUCCUUCGGGAUCGCUGUAGAGGUGCUGCAUGGCUGUCGUCAGCUCGUGUCGUGAGAUGUUGGGUUAAGUCCCGCAACGAGCGCAACCCUUGUCCUUAGUUGCCAUCAGGUAAUGCUGGGCACUCUAGGGAGACUGCCUCGGAAGACGAGGAGGAAGGUGGGGAUGACGUCAAGUCCUCAUGGCCCUUACGUCCAGGGCUACACACGUGCUACAAUGGCCGGUACAGAGGGAUGCAAUACCGCGAGGUGGAGCCAAUCCCCAAAACCGGUCUCAGUUCGGAUUGGAGUCUGCAACUCGACUCCAUGAAGUUGGAAUCGCUAGUAAUCGCGAAUCAGCAGGUCGCGGUGAAUACGUUCCCGGGCCUU